CAUGAGUGAAGACACAAACUGGGUUCUGCCAAAGUUCCUGUUCUAAUAACUGCCAUGCCCAGAAUGUCUGCUCAGGGGACAAUCUGCUGAGCCCUCUCUUGAGUCCUGCUGAUGACAAGCAAUUCUGACAUAUCACAGUCCUAUUAGCCAGCAGGCGACACCUCAGACCUCUAGCCACCCCACGCUGGAUUUCUCAAGCUUUUCUGUGCCUGCGAGAGCAAGUUGCCACAGAGCACCUAGCACUCCUAACAGCCUUACCCGAAAGGGGAGACUGUUCAACAAAGGAAUGGAGAGAGGUUUGAAAAGCAGCUCAGUGGUAGAGCAUUGACCAGCAUGUGCAAAACCAAGGAAGGGCUCAAGCCCCAGCACUGCAAGACCAAAGAAUGGGUUGGUGUGAAAU